rnacentral:rRNA from 1 species
UACGAAGGGGGCUAGCGUUGUUCGGAAUUACUGGGCGUAAAGCGCGCGUAGGCGGACAUUUAAGUCAGGGGUGAAAUGCCGGGGCUCAACCUCGGAACUGCCUUUGAUACUGGGUGUCUGGAGUUCGGGAGAGGUGAGUGGAAUUCCGAGUGUAGAGGUGAAAUUCGUAGAUAUUCGGAGGAACACCAGAAGCGAAGGCGGCUCACUGGCCCGAUACUGACGCUGAGGCACGAAAGCGUGGGGAGCAAACAGG